AAGUAGGCCUGAGUCAGUGAAGAGCUUUGGAGGGCGGGACUGAAUGGGGGUUAAUCAGAGGAUGCGAUUGCUGACCAUUUGCACUUUGGCAUGGCCCAUCCCCUAAUUUCUGACCAGAAGCCCUCCCUGUACCCUAAGCUCGUGCGUCACGACGCCGCCAGCUGAUCGGAGCCUGGAGCCGGUGUGUGCUGGGCGCGGAGAAGAGACAGCGCCGCCGGCCGUGGGGAGAGGACGCAGUGAUUUGCUCCCCUCUGCGCAGCAACCCCCACAGCCAGCACCAGGCCCCCAGAACUCUCCUUCCAGCUGAACUCCCUGGGAACAAGUCAUUUGGGCUGAUGACUGAACUCAUAUUUCUGGACCUGAGGAGCCUGUUCCUCUCACACCCUCACCUGGCUGAGCCGCAGUAGUUCUUCAGUGGCAAGCUUUAUGUCCUGACCCAGCUAAAGCUGCCAGUUGAAGAACUGUUGCCCUCUGCCCCUGGCUUCGAGGAGGAGGAGGAGCUGCUUUCCCCGUCAUCUGGAAGGUGACAGAAACGGGCUGGGAAUGUCCGAACAGCAGGGUUGAUGAUACGUUUUGGGAAAGCUGGAUAGCCUUUGCCCAGAUUGGCCCAGCAAGGAGCCGUUUUAGAUUAGAGACACUGGCUGAAUUGAGGAGUAGAAGGCUCAAACAACCCAAGGUUAGUUGGUCUUUGUGUGACAGUGGGAAGAAGUGGAGAGAACACUCUGUCUCCCCACUUCCUUCUUGACCCUCCUUCCGUAUCUCUCAUUCUUCCCCACUGGCCGCCUUUCUCGAUGAGGUCCAAAAGUAAGCUCACUCUUCAAGGAAAAGUGACACUAAAACCCGGGUGUGAGGAGUCAUCCUUCUGCUCUUAUUUUUCCCCGCAUUUCCUUAGGCUGGCCCAGACUCUCGAUUGCUGGCCACUUACCUGUGUCUGAGACCCUUAGACCUCCUGCCUCAGUUUCUCCACCUGUGAGAUGGGCAGCCAGACAGAUGAGUGUACAUGAGGGAGUCAGAAGCCCACUUAGUCGACUCAGAACCUGGGCUCUCCCGCUGCUGUGGGUGGGAACACAACACCUUUUCACAUAAGCUGUUGUCCCUCCCCCAUCCCUGACUCCAUCAUCCAGGAGCUGGGCGGGGUAAUGGGAAGCUGGAGGAGGGGGUUAGAGUUAGACCAAUGCAAGGAGCUAGUAAGAGCUCGCCUCUCCACGAUGUCCCCCCAUGCAAGGGUGGCCCAAGGCCUCCCCUGACAUCCAAAGCAGGACAGCAGCCCCUUGGUGGGAUUCUAACUGCCGCUGCCCUGUUUCUUUCCUCACUUUGCUUUCCAAGGUGGUAUGUGAUCCCCAGCUCAGGCCUGGGCAGACAGGAAAUUCUCCCCUGCAGCAAGCAGGGGAGGUGGGUUGUGGGAUGUGACCUCCUUCUGGAUGUCAGGCAGUAUAAACCUGCCCCCUCCAGCCCUGAUCCAUUCUCACCCAGCGGCUACAGGAAGCUGUCUUUUCGAUUUGGUGGGAGGAGAUGUGCAGGGAGCUGUAUCUUAUCCUCUGCUUGUGAAAAACUCAAGGAUGUGGAGAAGAGUAGACUGUGGAACCCUGCCUUUCUGCAGCCAAGCUGAGUGGGACAGUGGUAGAGAGGUGGGGAUAGAUGCAUAGGCUGCAACAAAGGUCACUCUGUUCCUGGACACUGCCUCCGUCCUUUCUUCUUCUUGCUUCACUGGCCACAGCGUCUCCCUCCAGCCCUCACAUGUGCCUCUGCCAUCUUCAUCCAUCAUGGAGCAGAGGUGAGGAAAGGGAGCCUGGGAAUGCGGAGACCAGUGAAGGACCAGGCCUGGAGAGCACAGGGUCCUACCUGGGCAUCCAACAGAGGAGCCCGUAAAGGCCAGGAGCACCCCGAAAGGAGGGAGGACAGCCAGCCUCCAUCGACGGCAAGCCUCCAGCCCUCUCCUCUGAUCACCAUUUCUCUCCAGGCUUUCUGCCUCCAAGAUGUGGCACCAUAGUGCAAUGCCCUGUGGCUUCACCGCCCUACUUCCACCUCCGCCCAGCCUGUAAUGUUUACGUAAGCAGCCUCAAGGACCAAGAGCCAUCUGCGAAAGGACAUACACAGGAAAUUCAUAAAAGAAAUCGGAAUGGAUAAAACCAUGAGAAAAAUGUAUGCUUCAUUAGUAAUUAAAGAAAGGCAAAUAGAGCCGAAAGCAUUUUUCCCUUAGCAAACCAUAACAGAAAAAAAUAAGACCCAAUAUUGGCAAAGAGACUACUGAAAUGACAUUGCCAUACAUUGCGCGUGGGAGUAUACAUCGUAUACAUCGGUGCAGGCUUCCUGGAUGGCAGUUGGGUAAUAUGUGUCAUGUAGCCUAAAAGCUCCACGUCCUUUGACCUAUGAAUUCUAUCUUUGGGAAUUUAUCCUGAGAAAAUAAUUAAGGAUUCAGUUAGUGAUAAGAUGUUCAUCCCAGCUUUGCAAUGGAGAAAAAUGGGAAGCAAUGGUUUGGUUGGGAAUUCAUUCCUUUUCUGCUGUAAUGAAAGUUUGCAGUAGGGGAUUUUGCUUAAGGAAAUUAUUGUAUCUCCAUCCAGAUGGUGGGGUACUGCACAGACAUUAAAAGUCAUGUAAAAGAACAUCUGACUGAAAGAAAAAUACUCCUUGAAUAUUAAAAGGUUGUAAAAAUAGUGCAUGUUAUGUGUUCUCAAUUUUGUCUUUUAAAGUAUGGGUGUAUACUUGUAUACAUAGAGCAGAUAAAAAAGACGGAAGGCAUGCUAAAAAAUGUUUAGUGGUUAUCUUUGGAUGGUGGAACAAAGUCACUGAAAUUUUCAUCUUUAGUUUUUCUGUAAUUUCCAAAUUUUCUACAUUAAUUGUGUAUUACUUUCCUAUAAUAAAUAUAAUUUAAGA